rnacentral:lncRNA from 7 species
AGCCAAGUCAAAAAGUAAAGAAUAACUCGAAGGAAGGAGUGGAUGGCAAGAAAUACAGGGAAAGCAAUGCAUAGCACAGCAAAGCAAAGCAAGGCAAAAUAGCAGCCAAAGCCACGAGAAUCAAGAAGUCAGUGAAGAGCAGGAAAGGAAUGGAGGAAUCUGGCCAGAGCUGUGCCCCUGCUUGCCACAGGAGCUGCGCGGGAGGAGAAGAAUGUGGGCCAAAAGGUAAGAGGAGCUCCUUUGGGUUCUGGGCUUGAAGCAAAGCUGAGAAGCCAUGCCCGGGAGGAGGUGUGGGUAGCUACAGGCCACCUUGCUAUCUCCCCAAGAGAUGAGGUGUGUGGGCUAGGCACCGGGCAGGAGUGCUGGCCAGAAGCAAGCAUCUCUGUGGAGGAAGGCAAAGGGCGGAGGAGGUUCAAGGGUAGCUACCGGGCAUGGCCUUGCUCAGCAAGGGGAGGAAAAGCCUGAAGGGCACGAGAAGGGGACAGAGAAGGGCAGGCAGUAGGCGUGAAGCUGUGAGCAGAGUAGAGAGCAACUUGGCAGAGCAGCAAGCAGAGUAGGCAAGUGCUGAGGUUUGGCGUGAGUAGCAGCAAAAGCCCAUAGCAUCAAGAAGCAGGAAGUGAGGAGAAGGUAAGUGAAGGGCAGG